rnacentral:rRNA from 1 species
AUUGAACGCUGGCGGCAUGCCUUACACAUGCAAGUCGAACGGCAGCACGGGGCAACCUGGUGGCGAGUGGCGAACGGGUGAGUAAUGCAUCGGAACGUACCUUUCAGUGGGGGAUAACGUAGCGAAAGUUACGCUAAUACCGCAUAUUCUGUGAGCAGGAAAGCAGGGGAUCGCAAGACCUUGCGCUGAUUGAGCGGCCGAUGUCAGAUUAGCUAGUUGGUGAGGUAAAGGCUCACCAAGGCGACGAUCUGUAGCGGGUCUGAGAGAAUGAUCCGCCACACUAGAACUGAGACACGGUCCAGACUCCUACGGGAGGCAGCAGUGGGGAAUUUUGGACAAUGGGGGCAACCCUGAUCCAGCCAUGCCGCGUGAGUGAAGAAGGCCUUCGGGUUGUAAAGCUCUUUCGGCCGGGAAGAAAUCGCACGGGCUAAUACCCUGUGUGGAUGACGGUAUCGGAAUAAGAAGCACCGGCCAACUACGUGCCAGCAGCCGCAGUAAAAC